UGCCGCGUGCAGGAUGACGGUCCUAUGGAUUGUAAACUGCUUUUGUACGAAAAAAAACAUCCCGACGUGUCGGGACUUGACGGUAUCGUAAGAAUAAGGAUCGGCUAACUCCGUGCCAGCAGCCGCGGUAAUACGGAGGAUCCAAGCGUUAUCCGGAAUCAUUGGGUUUAAAGGGUCCGUACGCGGUUUAGUAAGUCAGUGGUGAAAGCCCAUCGCUCAACGGUGGAACGGCCAUUGAUACUGCUGAACUUGAAUUAUUAUGAAGUAACUACAAUAUGUAGUGUAGCGGUGAAAUGCUUAAAUAUUACAUGGAAUACCAAUUGCGAAGGCAGGUUACUACUAAUUGAUUGACGCUGAUGGACGAAAGCGUGGGGAGCGAACAGGAUUACAUACCCUGGUAGUCCACGCCGUAAACGAUGGAUACUACCUGUUGGGAGCAAUUUCAGUGGCUAAGCGAAAGUGAUAAGUAUCCCACCUGGGGAGUACGUUCGCAAGAAUGAAACUCGAGGAAUUGACGGGGGCCCGCACAAGCGGUGGAGCAUGUGGUUUAAUUCGAUGAUACCCGAGGAACCUUACCAAGGCUUAAAUGUACAUUGACCGUUUUGGAAACAGAACUUUCGCAAGA
rnacentral:rRNA from 1 species